UUGAAAUUGUUAAGAGAACGGCUGAAGGCGGAGGCGGCUUUUAAAAUGGAUAAAACUGGCAAGAAGGAGAAUUUAAAAUUGUUGGCGUAUUGUUUAAAGGUGAAGAACGACGAAGAAAGAGAACAAAUUAU
rnacentral:ribozyme from 1 species